ensembl:lncRNA
UAUGUUUUAUGUUAUUCUAAACUUGUCUUCCUGAUAACAACAUGUUCUUCCCUCCCCUCACCUGAAAAGGUAGGCUGUAUCACACUAACAACUACAGCUAGGUCCAUAUAUAUUUGGACAUUGACACAAGUUUUGUUUUUUUACCUGCUUAUCCAAACACUUUCCAUUUAUAAUUAUAUAAUGGACAGAAUGUGUAGUCUCUCAGCUUUCAUUUGAGGGUAUCCACAUUCAAAUUGGAGAAAGGGGACCAAAAGUAAUUGGACAAUUAACUCAAAGUCAUUAUCAGUAAUGCAGACAAAAGGCCUGGGGUUGAUUUGAGGUGUGGUGCUUGCAUUUAGAAGAUUUUGCUGUGAAAAGACAACAUGUGGUUAAAGGAGUUUUCCAUGAAGGUGAACAAAGCUAUCCUUAAGCUAUGAAAACAGAAAAAAAAAACAUCUGCUACAAUAACAGGAGUGGCAAAAUCUACUGUUUGGUACAUCCAAGGAAAGAAAGCACUGGUGAACUCAGCAACGCAAAAAAAGAUGGACGUCCAUGGAAGACAACAAUUGUGGAUGAUCGCAGUAUCAUUUCCACAGUGAAGAGAAACCACCUCACAACAUCAACCAAGUGAACAACACUCUCCAGGAGGUAUGCGUAUCAAUAUCCAAGAAGACUGCAUGAAAGUAAAUACAGAGAGUUCACUGCAAAGUGCAAACCGCUCAUAAGCCUCAAGAAUAAAAAGGCUAGAUUGGACUUUGCUCAAAAAAUAAAUAAGUAAAUAAAAACGUCUAAAAAAAAAGCCAAACCCCAGCACAGUUCUGGAAAAAAAAUAUUUCGACAGAUGAAACCAAAAUCAACCUCUACCAGAAUGAUGGCAAGAAAAAGGAGAAGAGUAUGGAGAAGCUGUGGAACAGCUCAUGAUCCAAAUAAUACCACAUCAUCUGUGAAGCAGGACAGGGGCAGUGCGAUGGCUUGGGUGUGCAUGGCUGCCAGCGGCACUGGGACACUACUGUUUGUUGAUGAUGUGACACAGGACAAAAGCCAAAUGAGACGGAGACAUACACUCUUUUCAGAUCCAGCUAAUGCAGUCAAAUUGAUUGGGCAGCGUUUCAUAAUACAGAUGGACAAUGACCCAACACAUACAGCAAAGCAACCCAGGAGUUUAUUAAUGCAACGAAAUUGAAUAUUCUUGACUGGCCAAGUCAGUCACCUAACCGUAACCCAGUUGGGUAUGCAUUUCAUUUAUUGAAGACUAAACUUUGGACAGCAACGCCCACAAACAAACAGCAACUGAAAGCCGCUGCAGUAAAGGCCUAGCAGAGCAUUAAAAAGG